rnacentral:rRNA from 1 species
UAACAAGGAUUCCCCUAGUAACUGCGAGUGAAGCGGGAAAAGCUCAAAUUUAAAAUCUGGCGGUUCUUGUAGCCGUCCGAGUUGUAAUUUAGAGAAGUGUUAUCCGCGUUGGACCGUGUACAAGUCUCCUGGAAUGGAGCGUCAUAGAGGGUGAGAAUCCCGUCUUUGACACGGACUGCCAAGGCAUUGUGAUGCGCUCUCAAAGAGUCGAGUUGUUUGGGAAUGCAGCUCAAAAUGGGUGGUAAAUUCCAUCUAAAGCUAAAUAUUGAGGAGAGACCGAUAGCGAACAAGUACCGUGAGGGAAAGAUGAAAAGAACUUUGGAAAGAGAGUUAAACAGUACGUGAAAUUGCUGAAAGGGAAACGCUUGAAGUCAGUCGCGUCGCUCAGGACUCAGCCUUGCUUUGCUUGGUGUACUUCCUGUUCGACGGGUCAGCAUCAAUUUUGGUCGGUGGAUAAAGGCUUAGAGAAUGUGGCAUCUUCGGGUGUGUUAUAGCUCUGGGUCGCAUACAUCGGCUGGGAUUGAGGAACUCAGCACGCCGCARGGCCGGGGACUUGUCCCACGUACGUGCUUAGGAUGCUGGCGUAAU